rnacentral:rRNA from 1 species
AUUGAACGCUGGUGGCAUGCUUAACACAUGCAAGUCGAACGGCAGCAUGAUACUAGCUUGCUAGUAUUGAUGGCGAGUGGCGGACGGGUGAGUAAUGCGUAGGAAUCUGCCUAUCAGUGGGGGAUAACCCAGGGAAACGUUGGGCUAAUACCGCAUGAGUUCUGAGGAAGAAAGUGUGGGACCUUCGGCCGACAUGCUGAUAGANGAGCCUA